rnacentral:rRNA from 1 species
UACGAAGGGGGCUAGCGUUGCUCGGAAUUACUGGGCGUAAAGCGCACGUAGGCGGCUCUUUAAGUCGGGGGUGAAAUCCUGGAGCUUAACUCCAGAACUGCCUUCGAUACUGGAGAGCUCGAGUCCGGGAGAGGUGAGUGGAACUGCGAGUGUAGAGGUGAAAUUCGUAGAUAUUCGCAAGAACACCAGUGGCGAAGGCGGCUCACUGGCCCGGUACUGACGCUGAGGCGCGAAAGCUAGGGGAGCAAACAGG